GACGUAGGGCGCGAGCGUUGUCCGGAUUUAUUGGGCGUAAAGAGCUCGUAGGCGGCUUGUCGCGUCGGCCGUGAAAACUUGGGGCUCAACCCCAAGCUUGCGGUCGAUACGGGCAGGCUCGAGUUCGGUAGGGGAGACUGGAAUUCCUGGUGUAGCGGUGAAAUGCGCAGAUAUCAGGAGGAACACCGGUGGCGAAGGCGGUUCUCUGGGCAUUACCUGACGCUGAGGAGCGAAAGCUAGGGGAGCGAACGGG
rnacentral:rRNA from 1 species